UGUCUCUCUCUCUCUCUCUAAAUUUUUAGAAAGAUAUUUUCCUUACUGCCUUCUCUAAGAUUUAAGACUUUUUUUUUUUUUCCCUUCCUCUGCCAAAGCUUUUGCAGCUUUCCUUGCCUGCAGGGGCUGGAAAAAUUAAAUUCUCCUUGCUAGAUGUGGGCCUUCCGCUGAUGGGUGGGGAUGUAUAUUGUUUUGGGUUAGUUUUUUUAUUGCAUAUCAUGUGCGAUUUUUACAGGGUUUCUUUGGAUCUGCUUAUGGUGGCUUUGUUUAAUUUGGUCUGCUACUCUAUUGUUGGUUAUGUGUUGGUUGUGGCUCUGGAGUUGGUCUUUAGCUAUUGGGUUUGUAGGAAGAGAGGUUGGCCCCUUCCAUGGCUUUCCCUUCUGGCUAAAAGAGAUUGAGAAGCCAAUAAGCUCUGUCCUUCCUCUUCUAUUUUACUUGAUGAGCGACUAGGUUUAUUGACUCCAUGGCCAACAUUUUCUUGAGAUUCCUUUUGGAGCUUAGCUUGGAUGCUUGAAUCCUGGGUACUAUCUAGCUUGGAUUUUAUGGUUUAGGCAAUCUUGCCGUAUUAGCCCUGGCGGUGGUUCUAUAGCUCAUAAUAUUUCCCUUUUAGUGAAAUUGCUGGAUGAAGCUGCAGUGAUGGCCCCAUUUUGCUUUGUAGAGAUUCUCCUUUGCCCCGGGCAACAACCCGCCUCAGUUCGAGUUCCUUUGUGGGUUGGGCUCUUGACGCGUGGGGUUGUUGUAGCAAGGCUCUUUCUUUUCUAAGCCAUGGGCCAAUUCGUAAUGUGCUUUAAGCCUCUAAACUUUGACGUAAUGGGCCAAUAUGUAUCGGCUUUAAGCCUCUAAAAUUACAUAUUCAAUUAUUCACAAAACCUUCCAAUUUCUUCAUUUCUACAAUGAAGGACGCCUACGCCAGACCUGUUGCCGAGUUUAUUUUAUUGAUUAAUGGACCAGUAGGGGGUGAUCACAAAAACAAAUGCGGAGAAGACCCUUGAAGAGCUGCGCGCCUACCAAGCUGAUAUUGCAACUGUGCUUCGAAACGGUAAAGCAAAAAGUAUAAAAUCCAGAUGAUUGUGAACUUGUGAAAUCUAAUUUUGUUAUUAUGAUUUUUUUUUUCUUCUUGAUGCAUUGAAUAAGUUCUUUUCAGUUGCCAUGGUAAACUUUUCUGUCGAUUGUGAAUUAUAAACUUUUAGUAAUGAUAUGGUCUCAGCUAUUUGAGGAUGGGAUAUGAUUUGGUUGGGCGUACAUUCAAGUGUUUUAGUAAGGAUAUGCUCUCACUUGUGGUUAUUAGUAUUCAUUUUUUCAGGACAUGCCGAGUUUGGUAUAUCCAAGAUAUUCUUUCCACUGAGAAAGAGAAAAAAGAAAAGAAACCAACAAGAUUUCUGCGUUUGACAUCAGAACUAGUACACAGAAGCCAAUAUAUUUGUUCUAUCAUGCAUCUAGUCAGUAGUUCACAGAUAAAAUAACAAAUUGAUAUAAGUGUUCAUUUUUUUUAUUUAUUUAUUUUUAUUUCCCUUAGUCCAUGUGAAACUUU